rnacentral:lncRNA from 1 species
UAAUCCCUCAUCUUCACUUUUAUAUAAGCCUUUUAUUAAAGAAAAAAAAAUUUGUGUGUUUAUCAUUUAUAUAAAAAAAAUCUCCCUGCAGAUGAUAACUGAUGCGAUUGUGAUACUGAAAGAGAGGACUGGAUCGAGCCAACAUGCGAUCACUAAGUUCAUCGAAGAGAAGCAAAAGAAGUUGCCUUCGAAUUUUAAAAAGCUUUUGCUGGUUCAAUUGAAGAGACUUGUUGCCUCUGGCAAGCUCGUCAAAGUGAAAAAUUCGUACAAGCUUCCCCCAACUCGCGCUGCUCCGGCCAAAAAACCAGCCGAUGUGAAGCCCAAGGUUGCAACCACCAAGCCAAAAACUGCAAAAGUUGUUGCGAAGCCCAAAGCCAAGGUGGCGACCAAGCCAAAGGCAAAAGCACCUGUGAAAGCUAAGCCAGCAGUGAAGCCGAAGGCUAAGCCAACAGUGAAGCCGAAGGCUAAGCCAACAGUGAAGCCGAAGGCUAAGCCAACAGUGAAGCCGAAGGCUAAGCCAACAGUGAAGCCGAAGGCUAAGUCGGCAGUGAAGUCGAGGGCAAAGCCGAAAACUUCGGCCAAGCCAGCUAAGGUGGCGAAAACUGCUGCCAAAACUUCGGCAGGAAAGAAAACGACGAAGAGGGCGAAGAAAUGAGGUUUGGUCUUGAGUUGGGUAUCUGCAUAUAGGCGCAGCGAUGUAAAUUUGUUGUUUGAUAGUUGCAGGUUGUAACAGAGCUGUUUUGUUUAUGUUACUUUUUCUUAAUUUCUAAAGAAAUUUAAUAGAUUUCAAUUUCAUUAAAUUUGCCCGUCAAUGGCGUUUCAUUUAUCAUACUGUGGGAGUAGAAUAGCGCACUUUAGGUUGGACUCGAUUAUAAAUGAAAUUACCAGACCAGGUAAUUUCUUGGUUUGGUAUUUCCUUUUUAUAUCAUAAGAAAUGCAAUUCAAAAAAUUUAAAUAAUUUUUUAUAAAAUUAUUUAUGAUUUUAUUCUUAUAUAUAAAUAAAAAAAUUUAUUGAAAUAAAAAUUUAAAAAAAAUAAUUCCAUGAAAAAUAGAAUAAUAAAAUCUCUUUUUAUAUUUUAGUCUUUUAAUUUAAAGAUAUUUUAGUGGCACUUAAAAAAAAGAAAAAGAAAAAGUAGUGUCCUGAUCUAGAACAGAGCAUCUGUAAAUUUAGUAAUAACUCAAUAUUCAUUCAUUUCAAUUCAACAAUUACACCCCAUCUCUGCAUAAUCUUCACAGCAAAUACAACGAAAAAAAACACACAAUUAAGCAGACAAUCAAAUAAGAUUACUUGUCUUAUCUUCUCCAAUUUCUUGAAGCUUUGAGCGGAACCCAUCACUCUUUAAUCUAGUCUCUCCCGUUUGGACGAGGUGACGGUAAUGAUAAUAAAAAAAAAUCUGAGAGAGGCAAAUGAGGACAAAGAAGAAGAAAAAGAGGAGGAAGACAAUGAGUUAGUGGGAUGAAGAUGGAGGACCAUAGAAGAAGAAGAAGAAGAAGUGAAGGAAGAGGAAGAAUAAGAAUUGAAAGAGUUAAUGGAAAGAUAAAUGAAAUGAGCAGUACAAUGAAUUAAGUUUCCUUAAGAUUAUAUAUAAUGUCGAUUAGAUUUCACCGGUUUCAUUUUUUAUUUAAAUUAAAAGUUAUUUAAAAUUUUAUUAAAUUCCUCAAUUAAAAAAAUAUUUAUUACUUUUCAUUUAAAAUUAAAAAAAUUUAUUAAUAAUUAUAUAAAAAAAAAUUAAUUAGUAAAUGUUUUAUAAAAGUGCGGGUCUGAAUUUAUUUUUCAAAUUAUAUUAAUUAAUUAAUAAAAUAUUUAAUAGUUAAAAAUAAUAAAAAAUUAAUUAGUAGAUUUUUUUAAAAUUUUAAUAUAUUAAUAUAUUUUUAAAAAACUGACAAACUAACUAAUUUAAUAACUAUAAAUUAAAUAAUAAUUUCAGAGCUAAGCUAAGGGAAGAAGAAAAUAAAGACUGCCUAUUACGAGAGCCCUUUUUUUGUCACAAAGAUAGUGAUUUAAUGAAAAAUAAUAAUAAUUCGGUCGAUCCAUGUGGUAUUAUAAAUAUAAAUUUUAAAAAUAGUACAAAUUAGUUUUCUUUUAAUUUAAAGUUUAAAUAUUAAAAAAAUAUAAAAUGCUCUCAAUAUAAAAUAAUUAAUUAAUAAACUUUUUUUAAAAAAAUAAAUACAUUUGAAUGUAGUUUUUAAAAUUAAAAUCAAUUAUUAAUGAAUUUUUUCAUACCAACUAAAUAAUAACUACUUAAAUAAAACUAAAGGAACGAUUAAUUAUUUAAUUCUAUAAAAUAUUAGAAGUGGUUUUCGACUAAUAAAUUUACUUAUAAUACGGAAACUAUAUAGUAAUUUUUUUUAUUUAUUAAUAUGGAUAGAAUAAAAGAAUUUAGAAAUAAAAGUGAAUAUAAAAAUAGUCUACGGAGUUACAAACAAUAAAAUUUCAAAACUCCAGAAGUUAAUUCUAUAUCGGUUUGGAAUAAAGAUAAUGUCUCUUAUAAUAGUUUUAGGCACUUUUCAAGUUAAUUUUUGAGGUGAGUUAGAUACUAUUUAAAUUUAACAUGGUAUCAGAGUCUUCCAAAUUUUGAGAUAAAAAUAAUAUGUCUCUCUUAUAAGGAUUUUAGAUCCAAGUUUGUGAAAUAUAGUUGUGCUAACUUUAAAUUCUUAAUAAUAGAGGUGAAGUUACCAUUUUUCAGUAAAAAGAUAUAUUUGUUUUGCAAAAAUCAUAUGGUGUGAGAUGAGUAAUUGGUCUAAAAUAUUCAAAUUUCAAUUUAACACCAUUCAAAGUCAUUUGGACGAAGAAAAAAGCCCCUUAGACCAACUUUUCGAUGAGUUUUUUUGGCAUAGAAAUGAUAUGGAUGUGCCAAGAUAGACUUUAGAUACUUGUUCUCUAAUCUAGGUAUUAAAGUUUCUACUAAAAGAGCAGUUUUUAAUAGUUAUGAAGUUUUUAUAGAGGUAUUUACGAGAUAAAGAUAGAGAUUAUAUAUUAUUUUUAUUUUAACUAGAUAUUAUAUUUAUUUAGAUAGUUAUGAAAAAUGUGGUUAUCUAGUUAGUUACAUAAAAUAUAUUAUUCCUUAUCAGAACCAUAUAAUUUGAACUUGAUAACCUAUAAGAUAUUUGCUUUUGAAAAAUAAAACCUAUAAAAUAUCAAACCCUCUAUUAUUAAAACAUGUCUAUAGUCGACCAGAUCAGAAAAUCGACCUUGUCAAAGGUCGAGCAGGCGGAGCACGACCUAAUACAAUAAGGAGAUACGCGCAAAUCACCAACAUGAUGGUCGACUCUCUUAGCCGACGUCGAGAUCUUAAAUGUACGUGCUGCGAAUUUGACUAAUGUGACACUGAUGAAAGGAUAGGAUAUGGAGAAACUAAUUCCGCAUUUAUUAGUCGAUUGUUUACUGUUAAUGAGCAUAAAUUUGAGUAUGGAAUAAAGAUAAAACAUGAGGUAAUAAGAGUAUAAAUUUAAUUACCUCACCAUGAAUUAAUAAGAGCAUAAGUUUAUAUUUGCAUGUAAAAUUAUGUAUUUAUUAAAUACACUUAAUUUAUUCUGCAUAAAUCUCAAUAAAAACACUCAACCUAAUUAUUGUUAAAACUCGUUUUGAUAUCAACGCGGAUUUAUGUUAGGUUCACCCUAAUUGAAUAAUCAAAAUGGAAGGGAGGCAUGAAGAAUUAAGUUGUAUGGUGCUCACAAAAGGUUGAGUUCUUAAUUUUAGAAAAUAUACAUGUACUAGUAUAUCCAAUAAUUCAUGAAUAAUCACUACGUUUACAGUAAAAUUUUACCUAACCAUCAUUAAUUUUACUAAUUUUCUUUUCAUACUAGUAGAGCAUGUUGUUUAAUUUAGAGAGCCAAAAAGUUGAAGACCAUCAUCAAAAUAAAAAAAUAAAUUUCUACCAUUCGCUCUAACCCUCAUUGAUAAGAGUUUUCCUAUAUUAAAAUUUUAAAAAUUAAACAUAUACAUUGGAGUAACAUGUAGCAAUGUAACCCUAAUUUCAUUUAUAUUUGUAGGUAAUAAUUUUAGAACAUGCAUUGUAAUACUGCUAUAUAUAUGGUGUGCUCAAUGUCACAAAACUAUCACACCUUAUUAAGUAUGUUCAAAUUGAAUCACUUUCAAAUCAAAAUUUCACUACCCAUUUCUUAACCAAAUUUCAUGAUUCUUUAACCAAUAAACUCCUCUACAAUGCUAGUAUCAUAUACCUCAAAAAAAUUGCAAUUUACUUACAAGAUACUUUAAAUAAUCCCUUAAAAUCUCAGCUAACUUAUCGAAAACCCUAAUUUUGACCAUUUCACAUUCAAAUCCGAAAUUCUCCCUGUUCUCUGCACCAAACAGCCUGAAUAAACACUCCUUGGAAAGCUGACGUCCUAAUCUAAAAACCCUUUAAAUCUCAUUAAAAUCCAUUAACCACAUACUAAUCUACGUCCAUUAGAAUUCUGCUCAAAAACACACUUGAAAGUUGAAGCCCCAUCUCAUUCCCCUCCAUGUGGAGCUAUUAUCCCAGCGACACUAUGAUCCGCAUCUUUACUAAGCAUUUAUUCUCGACCGUGAAAAAGUCUCCAAUCCAACGGUCCAUAUUCAAAAUUUCUAAAAUGCCUACCGAUCCGUGUCAAAUUACUUUCCACCAAUCACAAUCCACGACUCUUCCCUAUAAAAUCCUUUCUCUCUCUUGAUGUUACAUUAUAUCCAAUUUUCCCUCUCUGCUAUUCUUGCACAAGUACUCUCUGUCUCUCCAAGAGUUUCUCUGGUUUAGAGUAAUUUCAAUUUAUAGGAAUGGCCGACUCUGAAGUUCAGGCUCCUGCUGUGCCGGCGGUGGCCGAUACGAAGUCCAAGAGAGCCAGCACAAAGGCCACCGCGGCCAAGGCCAAUGCUCCAAAAGCCAAGAAGGCAACAGUGGAGAAGAAGGCCAAGUCUCCUCGCGCUUAUCCUUCUUUCCUUGAGGUAAUCCUUUUUCUUUACUUUAUGAUUAUAUAAACCUAUUUUAAAGAAAAAUAAUAUUUUGUGUUUAUCGAUUUAAUGAAAAAUCUCUAUGCAGAUGAUAACUGAUGCUAUUGCUACAAUGAAAGAGAGGACUGGAUCUAGCCAACAUGCAAUCACUAAGUUUAUCGAAGAGAAGCAAAAGAAGUUGCCUUCAAAUUUUAGAAAGCUUCUGCUGGUUCAAUUGAAGAGACUUGUUGCCUCUGGCAAGCUCGUUAAAGUGAAAAACUCGUACAAGCUUCCCCCAACUCGCUCUGCUCCGGCUAAGAAACCAGCUGAUGUGAAGCCUAAGGUUGCGGCCAGCAAGCCAAAAACUGGAAAAGUUGUUGCGAAGCCCAAAGCCAAAGUGGCAACCAAGCCAAAGCCAAAAGCACCUGUGAAAGCUAAGCCGACUGCCAAGCCGAAGGCUAAAACAGCAGUGAAGCCGAAAGCUAAGCCAGCAGUGAAGCCGAAAGCUAAACCAGCAGUGAGGCC